UGUGUGUGUGUGUGUGUGUGUGUGUGUGUGUAUGUAUGCAAGCAUUAUGUAUAUGUGUGUGAAUGCACACACACACACACACACACACACACA
rnacentral:pre_miRNA from 1 species